UACGGAGGAUGCAAGCGUUAUCCGGAUUCAUUGGGUUUAAAGGGUGCGUAGGCGGGGCGGUAAGUCAGUGGUGAAAGCCUGCAGCUUAACUGUAGAAUUGCCAUUGAUACUGUCGCUCUUGAAUGCGGUUGAGGCAGGCGGAAUGUGUAAUGUAGCGGUGAAAUGCUUAGAUAUUACACAGAACACCGAUUGCGUAGGCAGCUUGCUAAACCGUGAUUGACGCUGAGGCAAGAAAGCGUGGGGAGCAAACAGG
rnacentral:rRNA from 1 species